GCCUCCGAAUGCCUCGAAUCUGGCCAUAAACAAUUCAAUAUAAUCACUACGGCUAAAGGAAUCAACUCCAUAAGAAAAUGCUAAGCUAUUAAUCAAAAGUCAAAAAUUGACUCAAAAGACGAUCCCCGGGCCCACGUCUCGAAAUUCGACAAAAAUCACAAAACCCGAAAGCCUAUUCAACCACGAGUUCAACCACACCAAAUUUAUCAAAAUUCGACACCAAAUCAUCACCCAAAUCCCCAAAUCAAAUUCUCCAAAUCCCUAGCCUCUAGCUCUCACUUUACACCUUAAAUACAUACUAACUAGGUGAAAAAAUCAAUGGGGAGGCAAGAUUAUUGGAUCGGGUUGCACGCCGCAAACAGAUUGUUAUUUGGAUCGGGUUGCACGCGCAACAUGCCAUAUUGGCUUUAUUAUUAUUUGGAUCGGAUUGCACGUCGCAACAUGUCAUAUUAGCUAAUGAUUAGCGUUUGGACAGGAUUUGCCCCUCCGGAGUCUGAAAUGCCAGCAAUGGGCGUAGGCACAGUGAUAUAUACAUAUGCUUUGUUGAGGGGCUUUUGAGCCAGACACCCGCACAGUGCUGAGUGAUUGUGUUUGUGAUGGCGAGGGGCAUUUGAGCCAGGCACCUUGAGUGUGCUAAAAGUGAGUGUACUUGAUGGUUUCACUGGGAUAUUAGUUACUUGACAUGUAUAUUUGACAUGUAGGUAUAUAGAUGCAUUUUUCUCAUGCUAGCUGAUAAACGGAUGAUAUUGACUUGACAUGUAUACUUGACAUGUAAACGUAAAGAUGUAUUUUUCUCAUGCUAAUUGGUAAACGAAAAUUCUUAUCUAGUGUUGUGAACUGGAACAAUACAGUUCUUUUGAUAAACUCAUGUUUAAUUGAUUUCGGUGGUAAUAUUUGAACUUUGACUGUCAUACUUGAAAAGUAUGUCUAUUUUCGUGUAAUUUUGAUCGAGCUGAGCAUAAUAUUUUUCUGAGUUGUGUACCAUUUCCGGCAUUAUUAUAUCUCAUGUUAUUAUCGAUUAUUGAUGUUGGACUCCGACUAUCUUCCGAGCCCAUCACUACUUUCAACUUAAGAAUAUGUUUGUUACUUAUUGAAUACAUGGGAUCGAUUGUACUCAUACAAUACUUCUGCACCUUUCGUGCAAAUCUUAAGCUGAUAUUGAUGUGUAUGGUGGGAGUUGGCAUUGAGGAUGUACCUGCUUUCCGGAUAUAACUGCCACUUGUCCUCGGUAGCUUUAGAUUUGCAAAUAUGUUGAUGUAUAUUUCGAACAGAUGAUGUACUUAUUUCGUACCAACUUUGUAAAUUCUAAGUCUUAGAAACUUAUGAUUUGUACUACAAAUCCUUGAAAUUUUUUAAUAGAAGUUCAGUUAUUGUACUCAUUGGCUCUUAUUAUUCUCAUUUGAGUUGUGUUGACUGUUAUUUGUCUUACCUAGUGGAUUGGGCUAGGUGUCAUCACAACUAGUUGGAUUUGGGGUCGUGAUAAGUUGGUAUCAGAGCUCUAGGUUCAUAGGUUCUACGAAUCAUGAGCAAGUGUCUAGUAGAGUCUUGUGGAUCGGUAUGAUGACAUUCAUAUCUAUCUUCGAGAGGCUAAUGGGCUUCUAGGAUAAACUUCUCAUCUUUCUUUUCUUAUAGUGCGAUAUAUUCGAUAUUCGUUGUGCAUCGACGACUUGUGAUUUCGGGGAUGAGGUGCGAGAUGUGUUCUCUGUGUUAUGGAGUUUGGCCAGUCUGGAGGACUUGAGGCCAGGUUAGACCACAGCUUGGGCUCGGUAGUUUCAGUUGUGUAACUAUGUGCUUUUAGACUUAUAUGUCCGUUAGUAUUUCUAGGAGUGAGAUUUAUGGCUCGAUGAGUGGUUGGAUGGCUAUAUGAUGAGUAUGAUGUUACUGCGGGAAGUGUUUAGGUGACUUGGAUGUGACGAGAAGAGUUUGCUUGGGAUGUGAAAAUGACUAUUGGGUGCUUGAUUUCUGUCUGGAUGUUGUCACACUCCUUUUUCCGAAAAGAAGUUUUCACUUUAAGUGACAUUAUUAAAAAGAGAUUAUUUAUUUAUUUGAGAGUCACCACUUGAAAUAAUUAUUAAGGUGUCCCAAGUCACUAGUUUUUAUUUCAAAUCCCAAUUCAAGGUAGUUUGACUCUGUUUAAGUUUGCGAAACACAAAAGAUCGAGUAAAGAAUUAUGUUAAUCCAGGAGAAGGUGUGAGGCACUCCCGAAUUCCGCAAUUUUAGCACUGUCUCUUUACAAUUAUCCUCACGUUAAUUAUCUGAUUAUUAUACGUUUUAAACCUUAUGUGCAUUUUAUCUUUUUACCGCGUAUGAUUAUAUUUUUUAUAUAAUAAUAGAUUUUAUUUGAAGUAAGUCACGAUGUCAUGCACUUGUUGUUUUAUAUGCAUCACAAAUCACGUGAAACACACCCGUGACUUGCAUCAUAUUUAUUCUAUUAUUAUUUGAAGUUAUAAGGUCAAGUCAAGCAAACGUGCAACAAUUAUGCCACGAGAACCGUACCCAUAACAGUGAUGAUUUAAUUAAUAAACGUGCCUAAGGCAACUACGAAUGUUCAUGAUUUGUUAUUCUACACUACUUUGAGAUUAAUGUAAGGUCAUAAAUUAUGGAUUAGCAUUGUGGAGAAAAGUAUACAACUACUUUACUUAUAUUCUGCCAUGAUUACACACUCUUACGUGGAUCUAGUUGAUCACAUGAGACUAAAGCUAUUUGAGAGUAAAUAAAUUGGGUCUGCUUGAUUAAAAUUCUGAUCGUGUAACUAAAGUCGACCAAUCAAACUAAGGGCAUAAGAUGACCCAAAUUUGGUUCUACAGUUAAAUACGACUUGAGCCUUUAAAGUAAAGAGGGCUCAGCUUGAAUCCAUUAUGGGAAUGGGCCUGAUGGAUAUUCGUGUGUCCAGGCCAUGGGAUGGGGUCUCAUGUAAUGGAGCUCAGGUGCUCCUAAUGUUAACAAGCUGUGAAAAUGGGCCCUAUUUAUUAUUGGGACCAAAUAAAGUACUACUGACCUCUGACAAGGUCUAAACAUUUAACACUAGUCGCCAAAUUACCAAUUACACUUUUAUAUAUAUAAAAUGGACACACAUGAUUUAUUUGCGUAAAAAAUUGCACCAAUUCAUUCCAUAUUCAGAUUUAUGAUGUUAAACUAGCCUGUUCGAGUUAUGAAAAUGCUUCAGAUCACAGACUAUCUCCAACUAGACAAGGUGUUUGCGGUAAGUUCCAUAAGCAUGUGUGGGUGACAACUAUCUGAACGAGUGAGACAAUUUGAAAUAAUAACCAGAUCUGCAAAACACAACUUUCAGCACAAACAUUUCCAUGAGUUUAAACAAAACAUUUAAUAACUUGCAUGGAUCUGUGAAAAUCAGGUAGAAUUUUACAUCUAAACACUCGAACAUUUGAUGAGCUCAGACUACUGAUUUUCAGCAAAGAACAACAAUUUUAGAAGCUCAAUCAACCUUCAGAAUUCCAGAAAUAGUGUGAUAAACUAAUGAAGAAUGAAGAUUUUGGGAACUACAGAUAUGAGCUGAAAACUUUUUGUAUUGCAGAAAACUUCUCUCAGCUUUUUUUUGUAUGUUCGUGAAUGAGUGUGUAUUUUCAGAGGUGCAUGAAUGAGAAAAGUGUGAGUGAGCAACCCCUUACAUAGAACAGAUUGUGUUCAGAGCCUCUUUCAACAAAUAAAAAACAACAAACAUCAUCCAAAUCUUGACCAAAAAUAUUAGAAUUUAAGGAAACAUCGGAUUUUAAAUAAUGCGAUUGAAACUAAUUGAUACUAUUAUAAACAGUUGCAACAAAUUAUAAAAAAAAUUAAUUUCCAAGAGUAAGUACAAAUAGUUCCCAUGCGACUGAAGAGAAAACAAAAAACUAACAGAUCAAAAUGAUUUUAAAGAAAACAAACGAAGAAGAAGAUAAAAGAUUACCAUCUGAGGCCGAACUUAGCCGGAACGAGAAAAGGAGAAGUUGGCGAUGGUCAAUAGCAUUUGCCCGGACUCCGGUGGCCAUGCAAUGAAUUGAAAUUAGCAUCAACCGAUUGCUCUUCUCAAGAGCAACCGAUUGAUGUCGAUUUGACUACUCAAACUGAUCAAGAUUGGAGAAAAUCAAGAAAUGGAGCAAUUUUAGGCUUUUGGUCAUAUUUAGAUCUACUAAUCGAGCAAUCCUGGGGUUUUGUGGUGGAACUAAUUGCAGGGGGAUAUAGGGAGGUGACAGGGAGUAUAAGGUGAUGACUUGGGGUUAUUUGGUGGUGCUCCUUCGCCGUGAGGCGAUUUUCGGCGGCGGAAAUGGGCGUUUGAUGGCGAGGAGAAGGGAGUGUAUUAGAGACGGGUUUUUGGGGGGAGCGGGUAGCACCGGGUUUCAGACAAUUUUAAAGGAUGGGGCGGUGAGUUCC
rnacentral:lncRNA from 1 species